rnacentral:rRNA from 1 species
GGUUCAGGACGAACGCUGGCGGCGUGCCUAAUACAUGCAAGUCGAACGGUCUUUCUAUGGAAGCUUGCUUCCACUGAGAAGAUAGUGGCGAACGGGUGAGUAACACGUGGGUAACCUGCCCAUAAGAGGGGGGAUAACAUCCGGAAACGGGUGCUAAUACCGCAUAGUUUUCUUGAUCGCAUGAUCGGGAAAGGAAAGACGGCCUUUGUGCUGUCGCUUAUGGAUGGACCCGCGGCGUAUUAGUUAGUUGGUGAGGUAACGGCUCACCAAGACGAUGAUACGUAGCCGACCUGAGAGGGUGAUCGGCCACAUUGGGACUGAGACACGGCCCAAACUCCUACGGGAGGCAGCAGUAGGGAAUCUUCCGCAAUGGACGAAAGUCUGACGGAGCAACGCCGCGUGAGUGAAGAAAGGUUUUCGGAUCGUAAAACUCUGUUGUCAGAGAAGAACAAGUUGGAGAGUAACUGCUCCAGCCUUGACGGUAUCUGACCAGAAAGCCACGGCUAACUACGUGCCAGCAGCGGC